GACCCCUAAGGCGAGGCCGAAAGGCGUAGUCGAUGGGAAACGGGUUAAUAUUCCCGUACUUGGUGUUACUGCGAAGGGGGGACGGAGAAGGCUAUGUUGGCCGGGCGACGGUUGUCCCGGUUUAAGCGUGUAGGUGUGUGUUCCAGGUAAAUCCGGUUCACUUUAACACUGAGGCGUGAUGACGAGGCACUACGGUGCUGAAGCAACAAAUGCCCUGCUUCCAGGAAAAGCCUCUAAGCAUCAGGUAACAUCAAAUCGUACCCCAAACCGACACAGGUGGUCAGGUAGAGAAUACCAAGGCGCUUGAGAGAACUCGGGUGAAGGAACUAGGCAAAAUGGUGCCGUAACUUCGGGAGAAGGCACGCUGACACGUAGGUGAAGUGAUUUACUCAUGGAGCUGAAGUCAGUCGAAGAUACCAGCUGGCUGCAACUGUUUAUUAAAAACACAGCACUGUGCAAACACGAAAGUGGACGUAUACGGUGUGACGCCUGCCCGGUGCCGGAAGGUUAAUUGAUGGGGUCAGCGCAAGCGAAGCUCCUGAUCGAAGCCCCGGUAAACGGCGGCCGUAACUAUAACGGUCCUAAGGUAGCGAAAUUCCUUGUCGGGUAAGUUCCGACCUGCACGAAUGGCGUAAUGAUGGCCAGGCUGUCUCCACCCGAGACUCAGUGAAAUUGAACUCGCUGUGAAGAUGCAGUGUACCCGCGGCAAGACGGAAAGACCCCGUGAACCUUUACUAUAGCUUGACACUGAACAUUGAGCCUUGAUGUGUAGGAUAGGUGGGAGGCUUUGAAGUGUGGACGCCAGUCUGCAUGGAGCCGGCCUUGAAAUACCACCCUUUAAUGUUUGAUGUUCUAACGUGGACCCGUGAUCCGGGUUGCGGACAGUGUCUGGUGGGUAGUUUGACUGGGGCGGUCUCCUCCUAAAGAGUAACGGAGGAGCACGAAGGUUGGCUAAUCCUGGUCGGACAUCAGGAGGUUAGUGCAAUGGCAUAAGCCAGCUUGACUGCGAGCGUGACGGCGCGAGCAGGUGCGAAAGCAGGUCAUAGUGAUCCGGUGGUUCUGAAUGGAAGGGCCAUCGCUCAACGGAUAAAAGGUACUCCGGGGAUAACAGGCUGAUACCGCCCAAGAGUUCAUAUCGACGGCGGUGUUUGGCACCUCGAUGUCGGCUCAUCACAUCCUGGGGCUGAAGUAGGUCCCAAGGGUAUGGCUGUUCGCCAUUUAAAGUGGUACGCGAGCUGGGUUUAGAACGUCGUGAGACAGUUCGGUCCCUAUCUGCCGUGGGCGCUGGAGAACUGAGGGGGGCUGCUCCUAGUACGAGAGGACCGGAGUGGACGCAUCACUGGUGUUCGGGUUGUCAUGCCAAUGGCACUGCCCGGUAGCUAAAUGCGGAAGAGAUAAGUGCUGAAAGCAUCUAAGCACGAAACUUGCCCCGAGAUGAGUUCUCCCUGAGACUUUAGGUCUCCUGAAGGAACGUUGAAGACGACGACGUUGAUAGGCCGGGUGUGUAAGCGCAGCGAUGCGUUGAGCUAACCGGUACUAAUGAACCGUGAGGCUUAACCUU
rnacentral:rRNA from 1 species